CCUACGGGGGGCUGCAGUGGGGAAUAUUGCACAAUGGGCGGAAGCCUGAUGCAGCAACGCCGCGUGAACGAGGAAGGCCUUUGGGUCGUAAAGUUCUGUCCUAGGGAAAGAAAGCCAUGACGGUACCCUUGGAGGAAGCCCCGGCUAACUACGUGCCAGCAGCCGCGGUAAUACGUAGGGGGCAAGCGUUAUCCGGAAUUAUUGGGCGUAAAGAGUACGUAGGUGGUAAUUUAAGCGCAGGGUUUAAGGCAAUGGCUCAACUAUUGUUCGCCCUGUGAACUGGACUACUUGAGUGCAGGAGGGGAAAGCGGAAUUCCUAGUGUAGCGGUGAAAUGCGUAGAGAUUAGGAGGAACACCGGUGGCGAAGGCGGCUUUCUGGACUGCAACUGACACUGAGGUACGAAAGCGUGGGUAGCAAACAGGAUUAGAUACCCCUGUAGUC
rnacentral:rRNA from 2 species